rnacentral:lncRNA from 1 species
ACAUCGAUUUUAAAUUAGUUUCUGCAUAACACAUGCAAUGGCAGUACCUUUCCAAUUACUAUUUAUGUGUUGCGUCUAAAUUUAAGUUGGAACACUUUAUAGUGACUGAAAAGGGUAGAAAAAUUCAUCAGAUGAGAAAAUGCUGAAGACACCUGGCCCUGCAUCUAAUAAAAAGAAACAAACAGAGAUUUGGAUAGUUCCACUUCAAGGUAAAAAUAU